CGCGGCCUAUCAGCUUGUUGGUGGGGUAAUGGCCCACCAAGGCGACGACGGGUAGCCGGCCUGAGAGGGCGACCGGCCACACUGGGACUGAGACACGGCCCAGACUCCUACGGGAGGCAGCAGUGGGGAAUAUUGCACAAUGGGCGAAAGCCUGAUGCAGCGACGCCGCGUGAGGGAUGACGGCCUUCGGGUUGUAAACCUCUUUCAGCAGGGAAGAAGCGAAAGUGACGGUACCUGCAGAAGAAGCGCCGGCUAACUACGUGCCAGCAGCCGCGGUAAUACGUAGGGCGCAAGCGUUGUCCGGAAUUAUUGGGCGUAAAGAGCUCGUAGGCGGCUUGUCACGUCGGAUGUGAAAGCCCGAGGCUUAACCUCGGGUCUGCAUUCGAUACGGGCUAGCUAGAGUGUGGUAGGGGAGAUCGGAAUUCCUGGUGUAGCGGUGAAAUGCGCAGAUAUCAGGAGGAACACCGGUGGCGAAGGCGGAUCUCUGGGCCAUUACUGACGCUGAGGAGCGAAAGCGUGGGGAGCGAACAGGAUUAGAUACCCUGGUAGUCCACGCCGUAAACGUUGGGAACUAGGUGUUGGCGACAUUCCACGUCGUCGGUGCCGCAGCUAACGCAUUAAGUUCCCCGCCUGGGGAGUACGG
rnacentral:rRNA from 1 species